rnacentral:lncRNA from 1 species
CGAGAUUGAGAUGCCAUGAGUUCUGUCACAUCUCGUCUUUGAGCUUGAUAUUGUCUUGAGCUUGUCACAAUAGUGAUUUGUGAUGUCUUCAUAGAUCUGUGCUUAGCUUUUGUUUUAUGGAUGUAGCGGAGCUAAUCUAACUUAGUUAUAAAGUCUGGGUCUCUUGGAUGGUGGAGUUUCUAGCAAUGGCAGUCAUACUACCUGUAUGCUUCCUUAGAUUUUUGUUAGGUGAGAUGAAUAGUUUGAUUCAUAUUUGGACUCUUGAAUAUUGAUUUCUG